rnacentral:rRNA from 1 species
UACGAAGGUGGCAAGCGUUGUUCGGAUUUACUGGGCGUAAAGGGAGCGUAGGCGGUUGGAUAAGCCCGCCGUGAAAUCUCCAGGCUUAACCUGGAAAGUGCAGAGGGGACUGUUCAGCUAGAGGAUGGGAGAGGAGCGCGGAAUUCCCGGUGUAGCGGUGAAAUGCGUAGAGAUCGGGAGGAACACCAGUGGCGAAAGCGGCUACCUGGCCCAUUCUUGACGCUGAGGCGCGAAAGCUAGGGGAGCAAACGGG